rnacentral:rRNA from 1 species
CAGCAGCCGCGGUAAUACAGAGGGGGCUAGCGUUGUUCGGAAUUACUGGGCGUAAAGCGCACGUAGGCGGCUUGGUAAGUUAGAGGUGAAAGCCCGGAGCUCAACUCCGGAAUUGCCUUUAAGACUGCCGAGCUAGCAGGUGAGAGAGGUAAGUGGAAUUCCGAGUGUAGAGGUGAAAUUCGUAGAUAUUCGGAAGAACACCAGUGGCGAAGGCGGCUUACUGGCUCAUACUGGACGCUGAGGUGCGAAAGCGUGGGGAGCAAACAGGAUUAGAUACCCCUGUAGUCCCUGUCUCUUAUAC